UAAAAUAAAAGUUGGAAAAAAUAAAUAAAAAGUUAAAAUCCAGGAUUAUAAUACACAUUUCUCAAAUUCUAACAAGAAAUAGAAACAUGAACAUGUUCUUUUACAUUAGGCUUUUCAAAAAAUAAAAAAUAAACUGGGGUUAAUUGCGGUACUCUGAUACUUAAUCAACUUGUGAAAAUUAAACUGGACCCUUCAUAAAUAUUUGUUAGUGAAAGGAAGGAGAGAAUGCACACAAUGGUCACAUAUCAGCCUCUGGCACAGAGUGGAAGUUCAAUAAAUACAGUCUAAGGAUAUUCAGAUGUCAGAGCCUGCCCCCUUGAGAUCUUGUCAGCUUGGGUAGAACCACCAAGACCUAUGAAAACCUGAAGUCCUCACCUGCUUUCUGCAAAUUCCCAAGAGGUUUCAUCCUCACGAUCUCUGUCUCCUGGCAACCUGUGUCAUCUCAACAAUUGAAUUCCACCCACUUCCACUUAUAACACACACACAACCUAACUUUCAUGAAACACCGGUAAGCUUUGCAGACUUUAUCAAAAACUGGACCAGGAGCAGAAGAAGUCAAGUAGACUCUCUGAGGACAUAAAAAACAAAGCCAGAAAACCUCAGGUGGGGAGUUUUGGGUGGUCACAGCAGAAAGUUGCCGAACAUUCAAGUACAACGAGUCCUAAAAGGAAUAUGCGCGGGACAUCGGCCGUCUUGUAGCAGCCUUGUAGACAAAGGGAUGGCCAACCUCCCUUCUCCCCAGUCCUUCCUUGUGGGUGUUUGUUUAUUAAUGGAGUGGAGUGAAACCCUGAAAGCUGUGCCCUUGCUCUGAAGUUCUGAUUGUAAUGGAAACAGUUGCCAGGGGGGUGAAGUGUCACCGUGGUUAUCUACUGAUCAAGGACAGCAUGCCUGAGAGAGAGAGCAGCCAGAGCCUCUGCCUGUCAAGACAAGCCUCAUUCCGCCUCCACUCGCUCUGCCCUGCCAGUGGCUAAUUGAUUUGUGAAAAUGCUUGGAGGUAGUCUGAGUGAGAAAGACACUUUAUGUCUGCUUACGACAAAUCCUCGGAGGAACAAAAAAUCCAUUUCAUGCACACAUUCCCCUGCUUGAGUCUUUCUUCCAUUCAAUUCCCAAUUAGCUAAAUCUUCAGCACCCAAAGAACUAAGCAGAUGAAAAAAAUCUUCUGAUGGCCAGCUCCUGCCAAACAGAGAGAAUGGCACAUACAGAAAAGAAACCUGCAUCAAUGGUAAUAAAAUAAAAUAAAAAUGAGGAACAGAAAAGCAGGCAGUAAGGAAGGAAAAUGGCCCUCUGGCCUUUAAGCUACAAUUUAAGAGAAUAACUAAAUCCAAAAGUCAAGUUCUAACAGUGACCAGUAACAAGAAUAACUCAUGAAAAGCCUGAAUCCUGUAGUGCAACCUCCUGGCAACCUCAUUUAACACAAGUAAAUUCUAGUACACUGAUUUUCUGUUGACGUCCAGCAAUCAGUCUAGUGUCUCUAUGCAUAGACUCAGAAGUACUGUCGGUCUUCUAUAAACCCAUCCCCUGCAAAAUGGACCAGAGCAUUGGUUUGGGAUUUCCUGCUGCCCAACUGGGGAUGGGACCUGCCUUCUGACUUUCCAGUUUAGCUUCUGCCUACAGUGUAUUUGCUUUUCAAAAAGAGUUUGCCAGGGCUGUUGAAAAAGUUGAAGGAAUGUUGAUAACAGAACUGACUUUUCAUCAAAAGCUGCUUCUUGUAAGUGAACUUGGCUCAAACUCAAAGCUCUUCCCCUGUUGCCAAUUGAUCCUUGGGUACCCUUGGGUAAAAGCCAGUAAAGUUAUUCCUGGGCCUUUUUUAUGUGCAAGUGUUAAAUUUUUUUGAACAGCUGGGAUAAUGAGGCUAACUUCAUUCACUUAUUCACUCAGUCAGUAUUUAUU
rnacentral:lncRNA from 1 species